ACCUGGGUGACUCAGUCAGUUGAGUGUCCGACUUCAGCUCAGGUCAUGAUCUCAAAGUGCGUGGGUUGGAGCCCCGCCUCAGGCU
rnacentral:tRNA from 1 species